rnacentral:rRNA from 1 species
UACGUAGGUGGCAAGCGUUGUCCGGAUUUAUUGGGUUUAAAGGGUGCGUAGGCGGUGUCCUAAAUCAGUUGUGAAAUACGGCAGCUUAACUGUCGAGGUGCAAUUGAUACUGGGACACUUGAGUACUGAUGAGGUAGGCGGAAUGGACGGUGUAGCGGUGAAAUGCUUAGAUAUCGUCCAGAACACCGAUAGCGAAGGCAGCUUACUAAGGAGUAACUGACGCUGAGGCACGAAAGUGUGGGGAUCAAACAGG